GACGAACGCUGGCGGCGUGCCUAAUACUUGCAAGUUGAGCGAUGAAGAUUGGUGCUUGCACCAAUUUGAAGAGCAGCGAACGGGUGAGUAACGCGUGGGGAAUCUGCCUUUGAGCGGGGGACAACAUUUGGAAACGAAUGCUAAUACCGCAUAACAACUUUAAACAUAAGUUUUAAGUUUGAAAGAUGCAAUUGCAUCACUCAAAGAUGAUCCCGCGUUGUAUUAGCUAGUUGGUGAGGUAAAGGCUCACCAAGGCGAUGAUACAUAGCCGACCUGAGAGGGUGAUCGGCCACAUUGGGACUGAGACACGGCCCAAACUCCUACGGGAGGCAGCAGUAGGGAAUCUUCGGCAAUGGACGAAAGUCUGACCGAGCAACGCCGCGUGAGUGAAGAAGGUUUUCGGAUCGUAAAACUCUGUUGGUAGAGAAGAACGUUGGUGAGAGUGGAAAGCUCAUCAAGUGACGGUAACUACCCAGAAAGGGACGGCUAACUACGUG
rnacentral:rRNA from 1 species